CACUACUGCAGAUGCCAAGAAGUGCAUGGGGACAUGAGGGUGAUAGAGCUGUCUCCUGAGAGGCUCUGUGAGAGUCUGACAGAUACAGAGGCGGAUGCAGUCAACCAUUGGACUGAGCACCGGGUCACAAUAGAGGAGUUAGAGAAAGGACUGACGGAAUCUAAGGAGUUUGCAAUUCCAUAAGAAGAACAAUAUCAACCAACCAGACCUCCCAGAGCUCCCAGGGACUAAACCACCAACCGAAGAGUACACAGGGAACAACCAAUGGCCCCAGCAGCACAUAUAGCAGAGGACGGCUUUGUCGGGCAUUAAUGGGAGGAGAUGCCAGUGCUCGAUGCCCCCAUGUAGGAGAAUGUCAGGGAAGAGAGGUCUAUUGUGUUAACAUUUUCUCCAUGAUUGAGGAAGAAGGUAAACAACUCGAAAUAGCUUUGGAAAGUUCUGGAAACCAAGCAGGUUCACCAGGCCCUGCUCUGCCCCAGUAAGCAAUAUGAGCUGAGAAUUCCUCUCACGUGAGAGGGAACUGAGCCAUCAAGAAAACUUUCAGAGGAGAAAGCUGCAGAGACCCAGAGACCAGACAGCUGCCUAGAAGAAGCAGAGCCUUCCAAGCCGCCUGAGAAAGACUUAGACCAGAGCUACUUGAAAAGGACAGGUCCAAUAAAGCUCCUUGGUUCACCAAA